CAGUCGCCGCGGUAAUACGAUGGGGGCUAGCGUUGUUCGGAUUUACUGGGCGUAAAGGGCGCGUAGGCGGACUGAUAAGUCAGGGGUGAAAUCCCAAGGCUCAACCUUGGAACUGCCUUUGAUACUGUUUGUCUUGAGUUCGAGAGAGGUAAGUGGAACUGCGAGUGUAGAGGUGAAAUUCGUAGAUAUUCGCAAGAACACCAGUGGCGAAGGCGGCUUACUGGCUCGAUACUGACGCUGAGGCGCGAAAGCGUGGGGAGCGAACAGGAUUAGAUACCCCCUAGUCCCUGUCUCUUAUACA
rnacentral:rRNA from 1 species